rnacentral:rRNA from 1 species
CAGGGAUUGCCUCAGUAACGGCGAGUGAAGCGGCAAAAGCUCAAAUUUGAAAUCUAGCACUUUCAGUGUUCGAGUUGUAAUUUGAAGAAGGUAACUUUGGUUUUGGCUCUUGUCUAUGUUCCUUGGAACAGGACGUCACAGAGGGUGAGAAUCCCGUGCGAUGAGAUGCCCAAUUCCAUGUAAAGUGCUUUCGAAGAGUCGAGUUGUUUGGGAAUGCAGCUCUAAGUGGGUGGUAAAUUCCAUCUAAAGCUAAAUAUUGGCGAGAGACCGAUAGCGAACAAGUACAGUGAUGGAAAGAUGAAAAGAACUUUGAAAAGAGAGUGAAAAAGUACGUGAAAUUGUUGAAAGGGAAGGGCUUGAGAUCAGACUUGGUAUUUUGCGUUCCCUUCCUUUUUGGUUGGGUUCCUCGCAGUUUACUGGGCCAGCAUCGGUUUGGAUGGUAGGAUAAUGACAUUGGAAUGUAGCUUUACUUCGGUGAAGUGUUAUAGACUUUGUUGAUACUGCCUAUCUAGACCGAGGACUGCGUCUUUGACUAGGAUGCUGGCGUAAUGAUCUUAAGCCG